rnacentral:misc_RNA from 1 species
AUAUCUUGUUGGAAUGAUGGGCUCCGGAAAAACGACUGUAGGAAAAGUCUUGUCGAAUGCACUUGGUUACUCCUUUUCUGAUAGUGACUCAUUGGUGGAACAAGACAUUGGAAUUUCUGUAGCUGAAAUUUUCAAGGUCUAUGGGGAGGACUUCUUUAGGGAAAGAGAGACGGAGGCAUUGAGGAAGUUAUCUUUGAUGCGUCAGUUUGUUAUUUCCACUGGUGGAGGUGCUGUUACGAGAACGAUAAACUGGAAAUAUAUGCAUAAAGGGAUCAGUGUCUGGUUGGAUGUGCCUUUG